UACGUAGGAUCCAAGCGUUGUCCGGAUUUACUGGGUGUAAAGGGUGCGCAGGCGGACUUGUUAGUCAGAGGUGAAAUCUCACAGCUUAACUGUGAAACUGCCUUUGAUACUGCAAGUCUUGAAUCCAGAAGAGAGUUGUGGAAUUCCGAGUGUAGCAGUGAAAUGUGUAGAUAUUCGGAAGAACACCAGUGGCGAAGGCAGCAACUUGGUCUGGUAUUGACGCUCAGGCACGAAAGCAUGGGGAUCAAACAGG
rnacentral:rRNA from 1 species